CCCGCACAAGCGGUGGAGCACGUGGUUUAAUUCGAUGCAAACCGAAGAACCUUACCUGGGUUUUGACAUGCAGGUGGUAGCGAAGAGAGAUCUGAGCGACCUUGCAGUAAUGUAGGGAGCCUGCACAGGUGCUGCAUGGCUGUCGUCAGCUCGUGUCGUGAGAUGUUGGGUUAAGUCCCGCAACGAGCGCAACCCUUGCCUUUAGUUGCCAGCAGUUCGGCUGGGCACUCUAAAGGGACUGCCGGUGUUAAACCGGAGGAAGGUGGGGAUGACGUCAAGUCCUCAUGGCCUUUAUGACCAGGGCUACACACGUACUACAAUGGCCGAUACAAAGGGCAGCGACACUGCGAGGUGAAGCCAAUCCCGUAAAAUCGGUCUCAGUCCGGAUUGGAGUCUGCAACUCGACUCCAUGAAGUUGGAAUCGCUAGUAAUCGUGGAUCAGCAUGCCACGGUGAAUACGUUCCCGGGCCUU
rnacentral:rRNA from 1 species